UCUGCGCUGAGCUGCCCGGGGCUGCGAACGCUGCGGCACGGGGAGCCGCGGCCCUGCGGGAGCUGCGCUCAGCGCCGCCGGGCACCUCCGGCUGCUCUGUUCCCGUUUACCGGCGGUUGCGUGUGCGCUCGGAGGAGUAGCAGCGAGUUGGCUUCGAGCUGAGUUAACAUUCAGAAGGGAGCAGCUGGGAAAAGCUACCUUCUCCAAGCUUGCCUGUCAAACGCUGUUGCUGUAGCCCAGAGCUAACACAUGAUUAGCUUCAUGUGACGGAGCCCACUUAAUAUGCAGUGGAGAAAGAGAACUACAAAGAAUAGAAGAUAAG